GACGCCUAUAAAAUCGGAACCAAAGUCCCAUUAUUACCAUUCGUGGUAGAUUACUCUUCACAGCUAGGUUAGACAUCUUUCGCCAUGAAAUCUGCCCUCCUGAUUUUAGUCGUCGCUGUCUCUGUGACCUACGGUUUGUAUCUAAACUCCUAUGAUGGAAAAAAUCGACAGAUCUACCACGAGCUGGCCAAACUUUUUGACCAAAUGAGCGCCAAAGUUAGGAGGUGUGUGAACGUUUUGGACGAAAAAUGCAUCAAUGGGGCCAUUGUGGGCGCUCCGAACGAUGAAGAUUGGUUGCAUAAUAAUUCCCCAGGGAAGAGAUGUGCAAAUGUUUAUGAUCAGGGUUGUAUAAAUGGUGGUGGCAUGGGUGGUGGACCCGACCAUGACUGGAUAACAGGAGGCGGAACACCUGGACGGCGCUAAAUUUAUUUUGGAAGCUUGUCAGUAUUGAUGUAUCACGUAAUAAAUGAGGUUUGAAGCUGAGUGUA